UACGUAGGGGGCAAGCGUUGUCCGGAUUUACUGGGCGUAAAGAGCGCGCAGGCGGUCGUUCAAGUCGAGUGUGAAAGCCCCCGGCUCAACUGGGGAGGGUCACUCGAUACUGAUCGACUUGAAGGCAGGAGAGGGAAGCGGAAUUCCCUGUGUAGCGGUGAAAUGCGUAGAGAUGGGGGAGAACACUCGUGGCGAAGGCGGCCAGCUAGACCAGUUCUGACACUGAGGCGCGACAGCGUGGGGAGCAAACAGG
rnacentral:rRNA from 1 species